UUUAGAAAAGAAUUGACCAUCAUUGGCUGCCUUGUCAACCCAAAUACAUAUUCGGAGUCACUGAGUUUGGCGGCCAAUAUGGGAGAUAGAUAUCUAAACUUUAAAAAGCUUGGAGUAAAAGUUUUUCAACUCCAGGAGUAUGAAAGAGCACUGAAAGUCCUAAAAGCAGGCGAGAUUUCUAAAGCUGUUUUUGAUCUCAGGGGUGGAGAUUAAUAAGUAAAAAGUGAAAAAUAUGAAAAA